rnacentral:rRNA from 1 species
CCUACGGGAGGCAGCAGUGAGGAAUAUUGCUCAAUGGGCGCGAGCCUGAACCAGCCAAGUAGCGUGAAGGAUGACUGCCCUACGGGUUGUAAACUUCUUUUAUAAAGGACUAAAGUGAGGCACGUGAGCAUUGUUGUAUGUACUUUAUGAAUAAGGAUCGGCUAACUCCGUGCCAGCAGCCGCGGUAAUACGGAGGAGCCGAGCGUUAUCCGGAGUUAUUGGGUUUAAAGGGAGCGUAGAUGGGUUGUUAAGUCAGUUGUGAAAGUUUGCGGCUCAACCGUAAAAUUGCAAUUGAUACUGGCAGCCUUGAGUACAGUUGAGGGAGGCGGAAUUCGUGGUGUAGCGGUGAAAUGCUUAGAUAUCACGAAGAACUCCGAUUGCGAAGGCAGCUUACUAAACUGCCACUGACAUUGAUGCUCGAAGGUGUGGGUAUCAAACAGGAUUAGAUACCCGGGUAGUC